CGGACCCAGACCAGUUCAGCGAUGCUUCAGGCCUUACCACACUUGACUGAACAGCAAAAAUGUAAAACAUUGCCUUCGGUUACAGUGGAUGGAAUCGUAAGCUGCGGGGACCACAGAGCACAGGUCUGAGACAGCCAGAAGAGCGUAUUUACUUUGCCGCUGUACUGCCCAUUCCUCACUAAUGCUAGCUAUUUUCUUAGAGCCGCUGAUUUCAAAAUACCUUAAAAAUAGAACAGAUUCCCUUUCGCUCUCUUUGUUCAACUCUCUCGUCUUGUCACUCAUAUAUGGCCUGACCAUAAACGUGUAGAUAAAUCGGGAACCUUACUGGGGGAAAGGCUCUUUACUAAACAUUGCUCCUUAUCUGAAACAAACAUACACACACGUGUGCUGCACCGUGACGAUCAAUAAGACAGAUAAAUGAUAACUCGGUGGGUUGAAGCUGACUCAUACAGUCUCAUUGUGUUCUCUUCUAGCACUCAGAGGUCAGGGUAUCACUGAUGGGAAUCUGCGUGAGACCCAAACAUCAAUGAUUGGUGUGAUUGCAGACCACGGGGGAAAGAUGGCCAUAUCCACAUAGCCAGGAGUCUUCUGCGUUUUAGUACACCGCAUCGACUGAUGGCUGAUUCUUAUCAGCAGCGCUGUGUCCAGAUCUCACGAACUUCUCCGUCAGUUUCCAGUUUUCUGGAAGAUCCAACCAACCUCCCGUGCCUGCAGAUUUCGCUCUACUGUUUCUGCUGCUGCUGCUGACCUGUAAACUGCAAGCUACAUAUAACCAUAUGUUGUCUGCGUGCAACGGAAAGCACUUGAAGUGGAACAAUGCCUGCAGAAGCGCCAGGAGCUCCAGGAAAUCCAGCACUAAAUUAAAGUGUCCCUCCCUUCUCCAAGAAGUCUGGUGGCAGCAGAUUCAUCCAGUCUGAAAAAUGUCUUAUUUGAUCUCGAUUCUUAGUAUCAGCAAUCCUUUGUAGUGGGAUUUUAUCUAAAAUUACUAUACACACACACACACACACACACACAUAACCAUUUAAAAGUUUGGGUUGUGCUACUUUUAUUUGAUCAAAAACACAUGUAAAAUCAGUCAUUGUGAAAUAUUACAAUUUAAAAUAAGUCCAAAUAAAACAAAUGCAACAGAAUGCCAUUUGCCUUAACAUUUUAUUUUUAUAACGUACUGAAUCACAAGUACAUUUCGGUAUAAAACACCAGUAACAACUGCAAUGAUGAACAAAUUGAAUUGCACAGGAACAGGUGAGAAAUGUUGUGAGCAAAGUGGGCAGAUGUAACAAUGAUCACGAGUUCAGUCUCACGACAACCCCAUAUAUUAUACUGACUGACAAGUAAUUCAACUCCACAACUGAUUUCAGUACUCCAUCAUCACCCGUUAUUCUACUUGUAUGACAAAAUCUUUCCUUCGAAUUAAAAGUUACCCUCACGCUCAAAGCAGUCAGUCUAAACAAAAUGUCUGGCUGGCAGUGGUAAAUAGGAUGCAAGGUUAUAUUUUAGGAAAAGAAAUGGUAAAACUACAAUAAACACUGAGAUGGGACAGAGGAUAAAGAUCCCACCCACUGCCCCAAAUGAUCAGAAUUUGCAUCUAACUGCUUGCUUGUUUUUUAAUUCAGCAAAAGCUUAAUUGGAGAUAAAACUGUGUAGAGCACCAGAAUGCGGUCUAAACUUAAGAUUCAAUAUUUCACACAUUCCUUUGGAUUAAGAGAUGAAAUUAUUUCGAAAUAAAGCAUUUAAGUGUUUUAAAAAAUGUGCAUUGCUUGUAUGCUGAAGUAGAGCAUACAUUAUAUAUAUAUAUAUAUAUAUAUAUAUAUAUAUAUAUAUAUAUAUAUAUAUAUAUAUAUAAUAUAAUUAAAAGGUAGUUAAAGUUUUCAGCUAAUAAAGAGUAGUAAAGUGAUUAAAGCAGCUUUAAAUUUCAUGAUAUUGUAGUGAUCAGAAAAUGCUAUGAAGCGUCCAUGCACCUGAAUCUAUAAAAUAUUUCUUAAGUUAAACAUGACUGGAAAGGUUGAUUGAAAUAUACAGUCUGGUGUGGAUUCAAGGUGAUGGCAAACUUGUGAAUCAGUUCUGUAAAACCAAACCUCGCACAGCAAUCAUUAAGACAUGCUUUAUUGUUAAAGCAGGCUCUUUAAUUACAGCGACGCAGACCCUGUAAAUUCUGCUCAAUAAACUGCCUUCAAUGAAAAGUAAAGUUGCAUAAAAUCCAUUUGCUGAAAAUAAAGGCACCAGCACCCAAACUUCAUGAAUAGACAGCUAGCAUAAUGGGAAAUCACUUUAAUAUACCCAGCUUCUCGAAAUACAUUUCAGUGCAGUCAUAAAACCUUCAUAUACAUGCGUUUUUCCUUCAACAUUCGUUUUUCUUCAUUCAAACAAACCGUGACAAUGAUGGGACCGCUUUGAUUGAAAUUAAUAUACACGAAUCAUCACACAGAGAAAAAAAAAGAAGAAAUAAGAUUCGACAUUCAACGUUAAAUUAAUAAUU